GGGAAGGUGGCUCAGUGGUAGAGUACUUGCCUUGCAUGCAUGACACCCUGGGUUCAAUUCCUCACCACCACU
rfam:Dipodomys ordii contig_14766, whole genome shotgun sequence.